rnacentral:rRNA from 1 species
UACGGAGGGUGCAAGCGUUAAUCGGAAUUACUGGGCGUAAAGCGCACGUAGGUGGUUUGCUAAGUCAGCUGUGAAAUCCCCGGGCUUAACCUGGGCACUGCAGUUUGAAACUGGCAAGCUAGAGUAGGGUAGAGGGGUGUGGAAUUCCAGGUGUAGCGGUGAAAUGCGUAGAUAUCUGGAGGAACAUCAGUGGCGAAGGCGACACCCUGGACUCAUACUGACACUGAGGUGCGAAAGCGUGGGGAGCAAACAGG